UCCACCAGUCUGUGACCCAAAACACAGGCAAAUGUGUGGUCCCAGAGGACAGACGGCACCCACCUCCUGACAGGGAGGCUUCCUACUCCAUUCCGCCUCCUUCUGCAAGCUCCAGCCCCCCCGGCCCCGGUGUGUACAACACACACUCCCAGCUGCUCUGAAGGCUGUGGAGAAUUCACGUACCGCGGCUGGUAUAUGUGACAGAAAUGGCAAAUCCAGAGUCUGCUAGCAAAAUACGGGGGUGGGGAGUGGGCUGGGGGUGAGGAGAAGGAGGCUGAGCUUCCAAAAUGCAAAUCUCUCAGGGACAGAGAGAGAAGGAAGGCGGCAUAGCAGCAGCUGGCUCUGGGCGGUCAGCAAUCCUAUCUGAAAAUAAAACAUUUUACAAUCCACAACUGCACCUCAUUAAGAAUGAAUGGAUCGGCUGGUAUAAAUAGCAUGCCACGUGAAGAAGUCAGGAAACAGCAUAUGCGUUUGACGGAAAAACGGCAGCCACAGGGCUGCUUAUUAGCUCGGUGGGCGGAGGCUCUUCACUCACUAACAAGACGGGUCCCGGGUUCAAAGCUGGGGUCGGCCGAGGCUCUGCACUAACAAGACGGGUCCCGGGUUCAAAGCUGGGGUCAGCGGAGGUUCCACACUAACAAGACGGAUCCAGGGUUCAAAGCUGGGGUCGGCGGAGGCUCCGCACUAACAAGAUGGAUCCUGGGUUCAAAGCUGGGGUCGGCCGAGGCUCUACACUAACAAGACAGGUCCCGGGUUCAAAGCUGGGGUCGGCCGAGGCUCUGCAGUAACAAGAGGGAUACAGGGUUCAAAGCUGGGGUCGGCCGAGGCUCCGCACUAACAAGACAGAUCCAGGGUUCAAAGCUGGGGUCGGCCAAGGCUCUACACUAACAAGACGGGUCCAUGGGUCAAAGCUGGGGUCGGCGGUGGCUCCGUACUAACAAGACGGGGGUCCCAGGUUCAAAGCUGGGGUCGGCCACAUGGCUUCCCUGAUCUUGGAGCACAGAAGGCCUCACACUGUGCCAGCCCUGCUCCCAACCUGGGCUUAACUCUGGACACACAGUGCCAGCCCACAGUGAGCUUCUCACAGCUCCUGACCCACAGGACCCCCACUCUAAUGUCCUACCUCUGGGCUUGAAUGCUGCCAUUGACAGGGAGCUCACUCCUCCGUCAGAUGCAAAACACUCAGUUCUGUGGCUGGAUGGCUAUUGAUCGAGGAAACCUAAAUGUCCCCUGCUGUGGCUAUUGAUCAAGGAAACCUAAAUGUCCCCUGCCCUGCCUCAGCUCUGCUCUGGGUCUGGGAGAAGUGGC
rnacentral:lncRNA from 10 species